GAUAAAAUGGCUGAAGUUAAGGCGAUAAGUUGUAAACUUAUUUAUGGGAUUUUACCCUUUUAUCA
rnacentral:tRNA from 1 species